GAGGGUACAGCUCAGUGGCAGAGUGUGUGCUUAGCAUGCAUGAGGUCCUGGGUUCAAUCCCCAGAACUUUCA
rnacentral:tRNA from 1 species